rnacentral:rRNA from 1 species
GGUGAAUGCUGGCGGCGUGGAUAAGGCAUGCAAGUCGAACGGUCCGCAAGGACAGUGGCAGACGAGGUAGUAACGAGUAGGUACACCCCCCGAAGUCGGGCAUAGCCAGCCGAAAGGUUGGGUAAUUCCCGAUGGUGUCGCAAGACUAAAGAUUUAUCGCUUCGGGAGUGGCCUGCUUAAUAUCAGCUAGUUGGUGAGGUAAUGGCUCACCAAGGCUACGACGUUUAGGGGAGCUGAGAGGCUGACCCCCACCGAUGGGACUGCGACACG